GAAUUUCUGACUCCAAGAUAAAUAAUGUCAAUUUUGGUAAUAUCUCUUAAAGAUAAUUUUAGGUCAGUUUAAAGCAUAAAGUUUUGAAAAUCCACUAAUAUUAUGUUACUUAAAACCACUUUUUAUUCAUAUUGAAUGUAUGCAUACAUUUUGAGAACACUCUUAAGCACCGGUUAUAGGUUAAUUUUCAAGCUAGAACAGAGGUUGUUUUUUUGCAAAACAUAUGCUUAAAAUUGUAAAGACUGUGCAUAGUACAAUUUUUGCCAUUUGAAACAAAAUAGAUUGUAAAGUUUAUUUUACAUGCCAGGAUACCGAGUAUCUAUAUAUUUUGUACUGAUUUUCUGGAAAGCAUCUAUAGUACCCCUUUUAAAAUAAACCAAGUGGAAAUGAAUGACCUGUCAUCUUCAUAAUUUCCCUCUAUCUUUUGGAAAUC
rnacentral:lncRNA from 1 species